CCUACGGGAGGCCGCAGUGAGGAAUAUUGGUCAAUGGACGAGAGUCUGAACCAGCCAAGUAGCGUGAAGGAUGAAUGCACUAUGGGUUGUAAACUUCUUUUAUAUGGGAAUAAAACGUUCCACGUGUGGGAUUAUGUAUGUACCAUAUGAAUAAGGAUCGGCUAACUCCGGGCCAGCAGCCGCGGUAAUACGGAGGAUACGAGCUGUAUACGGAUUUAUUGGGUUUAAAGGGAGCGUAGGUGGAUUGUUAAGUCAGGUGGGAAAGUUUGCGGCUCAACCGUAAAAUUGCAGUUGAAACUGGCAGUCUAGAGUAGAGUAGAGGUGGGCGGAAUGCGUGGUGUAGCGGUGAAAUGCUUAGAUAUCACGAAGAACUCCGAUUGCGAAGGCAGUUCACUGGACUGCAACUGACACUGAGGCUCGAAAGUGUGGGUAUCAAACAGGAUUAGAUACCCCUGUAGUC
rnacentral:rRNA from 1 species